UACAGGGGGGGCAAGCGUUGUUCGGAAUUACUGGGCGUAAAGGGCUCGUAGGUGGCCAACUAAGUCGGACGUGAAAUCCCUCAGCUUAACUGGGGAACUGCAUCCGAUACUGGAUGGCUUGAGUUUGGGAGAGGGAUGCGGAAUUCCAGGUGUAGCGGUGAAAUUCGUAGAUAUCGGGAGGAACACCAGUGGCGAAGGCGGCUCACUGGACAGGUCCUGACACUGAGACGCGAAAGCGUGGGUAGCAAACAGG
rnacentral:rRNA from 1 species